rnacentral:ncRNA from 2 species
AUAAAACUUCGGGGUCGGGUGAAAGUCCCAACCGGCGGUGAAGCAGCAAUAGCUGACAAGCCCGCGACCUGUCGAAAGGCAGCUGAUCUGGUUUUAAUCCAGAGCCGACCGUACAGUCGGGUAUAAAGAAGUUUAAA